GGAAAAGAUGAUGAAUAGCUUUAUAUUCUGACACCUCUUGUAUGAGUGCGGGGGAUGGCGGCUCGCACC
rnacentral:snoRNA from 1 species